rnacentral:lncRNA from 1 species
UAUAUUGUUACUACUAAAGCUACUAAACUAGCGAUAAAGCAAAGCAUCACCAGGCACAAAAUAAUUAAAUACAACCAUAUGGCUCCUGUCGGUUGCCGUAGCAUCGACGUGCAAGUCAAUAUUUAACUAUUACAACAUGAUUAUCUCAUACAUCAAAUAUAUCAUAUCAUGUCUUUGGCCAUAUCAUAUCACAACAUACCCUGCAAAAACAAGUUAGACGUCCUCUAAUUUGUUGUUGCUUGUUUUACGUGGAUGCUAUGGGUAUCUAGUAUGACCGCAUCUUACUUACGCAAAACCACAACAAUGAUAAACAAGUUGCUAUUUAACCAUUCUCCAAGGACCGCCUUUGUCAAAUCUGAUUCAACUAGAAUUGGAGAAACAGACACCCGCGAGUCAUCUUUAUGCAACAAUUUGCAUGUUAGUCGAUGAAACCGGUCUCUCGUAAGCAUAUGAGUAAUGUUGGUCCAGG